UACGUAGGGACCGAGCGUUGUCCGGAAUCAUUGGGCGUAAAGAGCGCGUAGGCGGCUUGCUAAGUCCUGCGUGAAAUCUCGGGGCUCAACCCCGAGCGGUCGUGGGAAACUGGCAGGCUAGAGUGCGGGAGAGGAGAGUGGAAUUCCUGGUGUAGCGGUGAAAUGCGCAGAUAUCAGGAAGAACACCCGUGGCGGAAGGCGGCUCUCUGGAACGCAA
rnacentral:rRNA from 1 species